CAAGUCGAACGAGAUUGUUGUAGCAAUAUGACAUGAAAGUGGCGCACGGGUGCGUAACACGUAUGCAAUCUACCUCUGAUUGGGGAAUAGCCUCGAGAAAUCGGGAUUAAUGCCCCAUAACAUAAUUGAGUGGCAUCACUUAAUUAUCAAACUUCCGGGGAUCAGAGAUGAGCAUGCGCAACAUUAGCUAGUUGGUGAGGUAAUGGCUCACCAAGGCUACGAUGUUUAGGGGGUCUGAGAGGAUGAUCCCCCACACUGGUACUGAGACACGGACCAGACUCCUACGGGAGGCAGCAGUAGGGAAUAUUGGUCAAUGGAGGAAACUCUGAACCAGCCAUGCCGCGUGCAGGAUGACGGCCCUCUGGGUUGUAAACUGCUUUUAUACAGGAAGAAAAAAUACUACGUGUAGUAUACUGACGUUACAGUAAGAAUAAGGAUCGGCUAACUCCGUGCCAGCAGCCGCGGUAAUACGGAGGAUCCAAGCGUUGUCCGGAUUUAUUGGGUUUAAAGGGUGCGUAGGCGGAUCUUUAAGUCAGUGGUGAAAUCCUGCAGCUUAACUGUAGAACAGCCAUUGAAACUGAGGAUCUUGAAUUUGGUUAAAGUAGGCGGAAUGUAUCAUGUAGCGGUGAAAUGCUUAGAUAUGAUACAGAACACCGAUAGCGAAGGCAGCUUGCUGAACCAAUAUUGACGCUGAGGCACGAAAGCGUGGGGAGCGAACAGGAUUAGAUACCCUGGUAGUCCACGCCCUAAACGUUGAUUACUCGUUGUUGGCGAUAUACUGUCAGCGACCAAGCUAAAGCGUUAAGUAAUCCACCUGGGAAGUACGACCGCAAGGUUGAAACUCAAAGGAAUUGACGGGGGCCCGCACAAGCGGAGGA
rnacentral:rRNA from 1 species